rnacentral:tRNA from 5 species
GGGGCAUUAGCUCAUCUGGCUAGAGCGUUAGACUGGCAGUCUAAAGGUGGCGAGUUCGAGUCUCGCAUGCUCCACAA